UUUGUGAGUGUGGUCACAUGAUCGAAUCGGAGGGAAAAGCUGGCAGACAUUUGUUCUCUUAAAAAACAAGUUGAAGUUCACUCUAGUGCACCAGCAGGUUGAAAGAAGAGAGACGGAUGUGAAAAGAAAAACUCAAUUCCAUAAAUUGAUCCUGAUUCACUCUGGAAUAACUACUACCAUAUUUCCUAUGAUUGUAUUUCAUUAUAGACUGACUGAAAGUCUAACAUUAUUAAAAGACGUUAACUGUUAACAAUCUUAUUUAUGAUGUUAUGUUGAUUGGGAUUAAACACACCCAUAACCAUGACGGUUACACGAUGAUUGUAAAUGCAUGCUAAUAAUAGCUCAAGAUGAAUUAGAUGAUUCCACCGCUGAAAAAAGAAACACUCCUAGAAUCCUUACAUAAAAAUAAUAACGUUUAGUUCACUUUUGCAUGUCUAAGCAGCUAGCAUGGCAAACUGCUGCCAAAGUAAAAACAUAAGUUUUUCACUAACAGGUUUUACGUAUUGAAAACAUGUUCAAAAAUCUAUAGCGAAUACUACACGUAUGUUCUCAAUGUUUAAAAGUAAUUCAACCAACAACAGUCCAUCUGGAAAAUGUCAUAUGUGAUACACAAUAGCAGCCAAUAUUACCAAGAACAUCGAUCCAGGAAAAGAAGUUACAAACAUAUAUUAGGCAUGAGUACUUUUCACAUGGCAUGCUAUAUACUUUUUAACAACAACAUGCAUUAUGUAUUAGAAUAGAAUAGAAAGGUUGAAAAGCAAUGUUAAAUCAUGAAAUGGUUAUACAGCCUUGAUAAUCGUGACAUAAAUAAAGAACACUUAAUUCUUCUAAAUGACUAUUAAACCUGUGCGCUUCAAACUAAUUUGUAUUGUAACGGAGAUCGCAUUUUAUGUAGAGAAGAAAAAGAUUCUAUCUAUCAAGGGGAUCAUAAUUGGAUAAACAUUAUUCCGUAGGCAGUCUGUGAAAACGCGUACAGGUUGUUAUGAGUUGCUUUAAGCUGAAAGAGAUGCUAUAAGAAAAAUGUGAUUUGUUCAUAAGCGACAAGCAUAGCAGAAAGAAUUCAAUUUGGUUUCAACAAAAGAAGUCGUUAAAGUCUUGUCAACUUAACCAUUAAAAAAGGAACUUGAUCGUAAAUAUAACACAUAAAACCAUAGCUCGGUUCCGAAAUGUAUGUCGCUAGUUUAUUUGCUAUUCAUGUAGAUAUAGUAGUCAUUUAGUGUCGAGUUUCCUUUUUGUUUCAAACAACGAAAAAAGUGAAAAGACUUAUGAAGAACAUGUGAUGUUCAAUUUAAGAUUGUAGAUAGUUUUUCAUUAAUCGAUUGUUAAAAAUUCAUAACACAAUUCAUAGAAAUAUGCUCUCUUAUUGUGUUAAGAUUGU